rnacentral:rRNA from 1 species
AGAGUUUGAUCCUGGCUCAGGACGAGCGCUGGCGGCGUGCUUAACACAUGCAAGUCGAGCGGAAAGGCCCUUCGGGGUACUCGAGCGGCGAACGGGUGAGUAACACGUGAGUAACCUGCCCCUGACUCUGGGAUAAGCCUGGGAAACUGGGUCUAAUACCGGAUACGACCUCCUGCGGCAUCGUGGGUGGUGGAAAGUUUUUCGGUUGGGGAUGGGCUCGCGGCCUAUCAGCUUGUUGGUGGGGUAGUGGCCUACCAAGGCGACGACGGGUAGCCGGCCUGAGAGGGCGACCGGCCACACUGGGACUGAGACACGGCCCAGACUCCUACGGGAGGCAGCAGUGGGAAUAUUGCGCAAUGGGCGGAAGCCUGACGCAGCGACGCCGCGUGGGGGAUGACGGCCUUCGGGUUGUAAACCUCUUUCAGCAGGGACGAAGUUGACGUGUACCUGCAGAAGAAGCGCCGGCUAACUACGUGCCAGCAGCCGCGGUAAUACGUAGGGCGCAAGCGUUGUCCGGAAUUAUUGGGCGUAAAGAGCUCGUAGGUGGCUGGUCACGUCUGCCGUGAAAGCCCGCAGCUUAACUGCGGGUCUGCGGUGGAUACGGGUCGGCUAGAGGUAGGUAGGGGCAAGUGGAAUUCCUGGUGUAGCGGUGAAAUGCGCAGAUAUCAGGAGGAACACCGGUGGCGAAGGCGGCUUGCUGGGCCUUACCUGACGCUGAGGAGCGAAAGCGUGGGGAGCGAACAGGAUUAGAUACCCUGGUAGUCCACGCCCUAAACGAUGCAUACUUGGUGUGAGCCAUUCAGUUGGUUCGUGCCGGAGCUAACGCGUUAAGUAUGCGCCUGGGGAGUACGGUCGCAAGGCUGAAACUCAAAGGAAUUGACGGGGGCCCGCACAAGCGGUGGAGCAUGUGGUUCAAUUCGACGCAACGCGAAGAACCUUACCUGGGCUCGAACGGCAUUUCAACGUUCAUAGAAAUAUGGAUAUCCCGCAAGGGAGUAUUGUCGAGGUGCUGCAUGGCUUUCGUCAGCUCGUGUCGUGAGAUGUUGGGUUAAGUCCCGCAACGAGCGCAACCCUUGCCCUGUUUUGCCAUCAUUAAGUUGGGAACAAUCAGGGGACCGCCAGCGAUAAGUUGGAGGAAGGUGGGGAUGACGUCAAGUCAUCAUGGCCUUUAUGUCCAGGGCUACACACGUGCUACAAUGGACGGUACAAAGCGCUGCGAAGCCGCGAGGUGGAGCUAAUCGCAAAAAACCGUUCUCAGUUCGGAUUGCAGGCUGCAACUCGCCUGCAUGAAGCUGGAAUCGCUAGUAAUGGCAGAUCAGCAUGCUGCCGUGAAUACGUUCCCGGGCCUUGUACACACCGCCCGUCACAUCGCGAAAGUGGGUUGUACUAGAAGUCUGUGCGCUAACCAGCAAUGGAGGCCACGGCCCAAGGUAUGACUCAUGAUUGGGGUGAAGUCGUAACAAGGUA